UGGUAGCCUGGCCAUUAACAAAAACCACC
rnacentral:piRNA from 1 species